rnacentral:tRNA from 1 species
GCCUUCGUGGUGUAACGGUAGCACACUCGGCGCGCAUUUGAGGAACCCAGGUUCGAGUCCCGGCGAGGGCA